GAUGAACGCUGGCGGCGUGCCUAAUACAUGCAAGUCGAGCGAACAGACGAGGAGCUUGCUCCUCUGACGUUAGCGGCGGACGGGUGAGUAACACGUGGAUAACCUACCUAUAAGACUGGGAUAACUUCGGGAAACCGGAGCUAAUACCGGAUAAUAUAUUGAACCGCAUGGUUCAAUAGUGAAAGACGGUUUUGCUGUCACUUAUAGAUGGAUCCGCGCUGCAUUAGCUAGUUGGUAAGGUAACGGCUUACCAAGGCGACGAUGCGUAGCCGACCUGAGAGGGUGAUCGGGCACACUGGAACUGAGACACGGUCCAGACACCUACGGGAGGCAGCAGUAGAGAAUCUUCCGCAAUGGGCGAAAGCCUGACGGAGCAACGCCGCGUGAGUGAUGAAGGUCUUCGGAUCGUAAAACGCUGUUAGUAGGGAAGAACAAAUGUUUAAGUAACUAUGCACGUCUUGACGGUACCUAAUCAGAAAGCCACGGCUAACUACGUG
rnacentral:rRNA from 1 species